GACGAACGCUGGCGGCGUGCCUAAUACAUGCAAGUCGAACGCAGUUGGGAUGGGUGAGUAACACGUGGGCAACCUCCCAUCAGAGGGGAUAACACUUGGAAACAGGUGCUAAACCGAUAUUGUUUGAUGGACCCGCUGGGCAUUAGCUAGUUGGUGAGGUAACGGCUCACCAAGGCUACGAUGCAUAGCCGACCUGAGAGGGUGAUCGGCCACACUGGGACUGAGACACGGCCCAGACUCCUACGGGAGGCAGCAGUAGGGAAUCUUCGGCAAUGGACGAAAGUCUGACCGAGCAACGCCGCGUGAGUGAAGAAGGUUUUCGGAUCGUAAAACUCUGUUGUUAGAGAAGCGGUAUCUAACCAGAAAGCCACGGCUAACUACGUGCCAGCAGCCGCGGUAAUAC
rnacentral:rRNA from 1 species